rnacentral:misc_RNA from 1 species
AUGAGUUUGAAAGGGGUUGUUGCUGGCCUCCUCGGAGGUAUGUGCACGCCUCGCUCAUCCACUCACCCCUGUGCACAUCAGGUGGUCUGGUUAAUUUGACUGGACUGCCGUUUUUACAAACUCCACAUGUAUUUGAAUGUAACUUUGCUAUAAACGCAUAUAAUA